UACGUAGGUGGCAAGCGUUGUCCGGAAUUAUUGGGCGUAAAGCGCGCGCAGGCGGUCCUUUAAGUCUGAUGUGAAAGCCCACGGCUCAACCGUGGAGGGUCAUUGGAAACUGGGGGACUUGAGUGCAGAAGAGGAAAGCGGAAUUCCACGUGUAGCGGUGAAAUGCGUAGAGAUGUGGAGGAACACCAGUGGCGAAGGCGGCUUUCUGGUCUGUAACUGACGUUCAGGCACGAAAGCGUGGGGAGCAAACAGG
rnacentral:rRNA from 1 species